rnacentral:rRNA from 1 species
AGUGAACGCUGGCGGUAUGCCUAACACAUGCAAGUCGAACGGCAGCACAGUAAGAGCUUGCUCUUACGGGUGGCGAGUGGCGGACGGGGGAGGAAUACAUCGGAAUCUACUUUUUCGGGGGGGAUAACGUAGGGAAACUUACGCUAAUACCGCAUACGACCUACGGGUGAAAGCAGGGGAUCUUCUGACCUGGCGCUAUGGAAUGAGCCGAUGUCGGAUUAGCUAGUUGGCGGGGUAAAGGCACACCAAGGCGACGAUCCGUAGCUGGUCUGAGAGGAUGAUCAGCCACACUGGAACUGAGACACGGUCCACACUCCUACGCGAGGCCGCAGUGGGGAAUAUUGGACAAUGCGCGCAAGCCUGAUACAGCAAUACCGCGUGGGUGCAGAAGGCCUUCGGGUUGUAAAGCCAUUUUGUUGGGAAAGAAAAGCAGCAGGUUAAUACCCCGCUGUUCUGACGGUACCCAAAGAAUAAGCACCGGCUAACUUCGUG